GCCUGGGUGGCUUAGUCGGUUAAGCAUCCGACUUCAGCUCAGGUCAUGAUCUCACGGUUCAUGGGUUCGAGUCCCGUGUCAGGCU
rnacentral:tRNA from 1 species